GCGCGAAAACUUUACAAUGCGGGAAACCGUGAUAAGGGAACCCCGAGUGCCCGUAGAAUCGGGCUGUUGAUCUGUGUAAAAAGCAGGUAGAGAAAGGGCCGGGCAAGACCGGUGCCAGCCGCCGCGGUAAUACCGGCGGCUCGAGUGGUGGCCACUAUUACUGGGCUUAAAGCGUUCGUAGCUGGGUUGUUAAGUCUCUUGGGAAAUCCACCGGCUCAACCGAUGGGCGACCAGGGGAAACUGGCAUUCUAGGGACCGGGAGAGGUGAGAGGUACUCCAGGGGUAGGAGUGAAAUCCUGUAAUCCUUGGGGGACCACCGGAUGGCGAAGGCAUCUCACCAGAACGGCUCCGACAGUGAGGAACGAAAGCUGGGGGAGCAAACCGGAUUAGAAACCCGAG
rnacentral:rRNA from 1 species